GGUAUCGCCAAGUGGUAAGGCACCGGGUUUUGAUCCCGGCAUCCGUUGGUUCGAAUCCAGCUACCC
rnacentral:tRNA from 1 species